GCUGGGUGCGGUGGUGCACGCCUGUCAUCCCAGAGACUCGGGAGGCUGAGGCAGGAGGAUCGCAAGUUCAAAGCCAGCCUCAGCAACUUAUGGGGCCCUCAGCGACUCAGUGAGACCCUGUCUCAA
rnacentral:sRNA from 1 species